UUAAUACCGAUACUAAAUCAUUAUAUCAUGACACUUUCUGAAAUAUACCUAUAUAUGUAUAUAUGUAUGUAUGCUUAGUUUUUCAGCUUAUAAACGAUCAUUCAAGAUACUUUAUUCCAAAUUCUAUUUUUCUAAAUUAUCGCCCACUGUUUUCAAUUCUCUUUAGGAUACAAUGACUCUCUUUAAUCACCAGGGUAAAUAGAUUGAGGUUCUGAAAUUUUUACGCCAUAUUUAAAACGUAAACGACUUUGAAUAAGCUUUCAGUAAUCUUAAACAAUAUUAUAUACUAAUAUAUGCAGCUAGUAGCUCGACAAAAAGUGCAACAUUCAGAUCAAUAUGUGAUUUAUAAUAUAAAAGUUCAAUAACAUGUAUAUAAAAUAUCUAAAUAAUUUGAUUCAUUAUAAUAUAGCCUUUUAUUUUUCUCCCUUUGAUUUCUUUCUACUUUGUACAAGGAUAGUAUGGAAAUUCUAGGUUGACUGAUGGUAACGAAAAUUGGAACAAUGGAAUGUCUGCAUUUAUAUUUAUAUUUUCUUUAGAAUUUGCUGAAUAUUCCAGCGUUGCCUGCUUGCAUAUUGGUCGAGAAGUUGAGAUAAAGAUCAAAAAAUAGAUAGAAAACAUAUUACGAAGAUGACUUUGAAGUCGAUCAGAACGUAUGAAGAUGUUAUGCAUAUGAUUGGAGGGUUCGGCCUCUAUCAGAGAAUCUGUUUCGUCUUCAUACAGAUGGCCGAUUUAUUUGGCGCGUUUAUCAUCUUCUCUCCGAUUCUCAUAGCUGCUGUCCCUGCAAAUUUGGAUUGCUCUCCGUCAAACCAAACAAAUGGAACGAAUUCUUCUCAGCAAUUUGAUGAGAAAACAUCAACUAUCGUUGCUACAUGGCAACUUGUUUGCGACAAGGCUUGGGUACCAGAUACAAUCAAUACAAUACAAAUGAUAGGUUUCUUCCUUGGAGCCGCAAUUUUUGGGCAAUUGAGUGAUGCAACAGGAAGGAGACAUACAUAUUUCUUUGGAAAUUUAGUGCUAGUACUACCAUGUCUUGUUUCUGCUUUCGUUCCAAACUGGUAUUACUAUGCCGCUUGUCGUUUAUUUAGUGGUAUCGGAUUCGGAGGUCUACAAGUAAUAAGCUCUGUAUAUCCUUUAGAAAUUGUAUCGAAGAAGUACAGAAGUUUAGCUGGGACAUUUGGGUUUUGGGCUAUUGGACAAAUGCUUUUAGCACCAAUGGCCUAUUAUUUUAGAAAAUGGCAAACUCUUCUUAUAGUUUCCUGUUCAACAAGCAUUCCGUUCUUUCUUGGAUGGUUCUUUGUACCAGAGAGUCCAAGAUGGUUACUGCAAAAAGAAAGAUAUCACGAAGCUCACAAAAUUCUGCAGAAAAUUGCUAGGAGAAAUGGGCGAACUUGUCCCGACUUGGGAACGCUCAAAAGAAUUACUGUAAGAGAUGAUAAGCGUGUUUCCUGCAUGAAACUAUGGGUCAGAGAACAUUUUAAGAAAACAGCAGUCUUAGGGUUGAGUUGGUAUACCGUCUACUGCACAUAUUACGUAAUAUCUUUUAACUUUCCACAUGACCUUAUAAAUAACAAAUAUCUGAGUAUACUAAUAAUUGGAGCUGUUGAUUGGCCUGCAAUGUUAUCCGUAAUUGCCGCAAACUGCUUGACUGGAAGAAAAAAAUCGCUUUUCAUCUACAUUAUAAUAGCUGCCAUUGGGGUUUUGACAAUUCUAAUAAUUGGUAUUUUGAAAAUGCGAAAUGAUUUGAAAGUUCUUCUCUUUAUUGGGGGACUAAUGGCUAAGGGUUGUAUGGUUGCGAACAUGUAUGUUCUUAGAAUUUAUACUGCAGAAACUUAUCCAACAAUCGUUAGGUCAUCGGCCGUUGGCCUUGGGAGUAUGUUUGGGUGUAAGGGGAGUAUUUCAGCUCCUCUUCUUUUACUUACGUUCCAUAAAUUCCCUCUCGGACCUUUCUUGGUUAUUUUUAUACUAUUUGUGUUGACGUUAAUAUUAGUGUUCCUAUGCCUAUCUGAAACAAAAGGUUUGCACCUCAGCGAUUCUUUCAAAGACCAACAGAUGGCGUUGAAAAGCAACUAUAGUAAAGAUGUUGAAGACGAAAAGAGUUACGAGCAAGGGGAAUUGGUGUCUAACGGCGAAAAAGAGCAAAUUACAUUUUAUUAAACAGCUAAAUUGUCAGGUUUAAGCUUAACACGUAUUAGCUAACAAAAAGACUGUAAUAUUUAGAUAUAAAUUUUGUUUUUUUGCGCAUAACGUCCGAGUAUGGAGACCAUAAAUAUUCCACAUAAUUUGAACAUAAAUAUCCAUUUAUUAUGUUCAAUUUAUUGAUAGUUUAGAGUGAGUAUAUUAUUGACUUGCCUUGUUUUCUAUUGUUUCUCUUUUGCUUGUACACGCACAUACAAAUAUAUAUAUGUAUUACACAUGGUUAUAGAUGAUAAAAUAGAAACAAUUAGCAUCAUUUUUAACACUGCUACCGUUUUUUGACAAGACUGUUUUCUACAUUGUUUAAAUAGCAAAGGUAUUUCCUGAUUUAUAUCUAAAAAAAAUCCGUAUUUUUUUCUAAUAUGUGUCAUAUUUUUACAUUUUAACUUUUGUUAAUUUUUACUGCUUUACGUAUACUGCAAAACUAAAAUUUUCACGAAUAUAUGUAUUGUGAUAUUAUAUACUAUAUUGAGCAAUAAAAUAGGGUAUAAAAUGACAAAAUGCAUACAUCUUACGGUGGAAAAAGAUCUGAUAUCAUCUACUAUAAUAAAGUUAGGUCAGAAUGAUGAAAAGAGAGGAAGAGAAUUAGCCGAAUCCAAGUAAAGAGGAAAAAGCACGAUAAUAAAAAGGCGGUGGCUAUAAACGUUCUUAAAUCGUCUAAUCAAUAAUAAUAUCCACUCGAAUGCCUUCUUCAACAAAAUAGCCAAAGAACGUCAAGGCGUUUUGGAUCGUGAUUGACAAACCAAGGUACGCCCCCUGGUGAGAAGCGCGGAUGUCAACCGCGUUUCAUUCGCUCUCCUCCAGAGAGAAGGCCAAUGGAUAAAGAUUUGAAGAGAAAAUACUUGAAAAUUUUCUUUCUAUUCUCAUCUAUAUCAACAUUGGCAAUAUUCUUCUUAUGUUCCGGUAUAAGACCUUCAGUUUGUAGAAUAACUUUACCGCAAGUUCAAAAUAAUAGGAUACACUAUAAGCAUGCCAAAAGGAGACUUCCUAAAGCUAUAAUAAUAGGAGUCAGAAAAGGAGGAAGCCGAGCACUCUUGGAAUUCCUUGAUAUUCAUCCAAAGAUUAGGAUAUGUCAUCGUGAAAUGCACUUUUUUAAUAAUGACGACGCAUACGCUGAAGGAUUGGAAUGGUAUAGGAGGAAGAUGCCCUACUCCUUUGCAGAUCAAAUCACCAUCGAAAAAACACCCGCCUAUUUUACCUCGAUCGACGCCGCCCAGCGAAUUCACUCGAUGAAUUCUUCCAUUAAACUAAUACUGGUGGCGCGUAACCCUACUGAUCGGGCGAUCAGUGACUAUGAACAAAUCCAACAAAACCGCUUAAGCAGGAACAAACAACGGCAAACUUUCGACGAGUUGGCAUUUAAUGCAGACGGCGGAGUACAGGAAGACUAUUCGGCCAUAGAAAGAGGCAUUUAUCACAAGCACUUAUCCGUCUGGCUAAACUAUUUCUCACUCGAUCAAAUUCUAGUACUAUCAUCGGAACUACUAAUAACUGAUCCGGUCUUGGUUCUACGGAAAGUUCAACUGUUUCUGGGACUACAACCUUACAUUCGACAAAGUCAUUUCGUUUAUAAUCCGUCGAAAGGAUUUUUCUGCAAAGCCGAUUCAGUGGGCCGUCAAUGUUUGUCAAAGAGCAAAGGUCGAACUCAUCCUAAGCUUUCCCCUAGUACAAGACGAAAAUUAGAAGAAUUCUAUAUACCGCACAGUCAGCAUUUUUAUAAAAUGGUCGGCAGGAAUUUUGCAUGGUUUCCAAAUGACAGUAUUAACCUCACAUGAAAAAAAAAACCAACAUAAAUACAGCAUUUUCCUUUCUUUAUCACUUUAUGGGUUAUGGUGCCAUCUAGUGUCAACACCAUAGAGACAUUGAAAGGAAUCGAAUGAGUGAACAAGUGAAAGACAAAAAAAUUACGAAAUUGUAAACAAAAUAUCAAUAAAGAAACUAACAAAACAGCUUAAUUACAACUAUAGUAAUAUAAUAAAGAUUUUAUUUAUUUAAUAUU
rnacentral:misc_RNA from 1 species